GCUCUCAGCCUGCCAGAGCUGAUUCAAUCAGCCUGCGGAGCCCAAGUUUGCAGAGGAAUUGUCCAGGAGCCCCAGCCGGAGGAGAAACCGGAAGAAGUGAACCUGAGCAGCCUGGAUAUCCUUGUAAGCAGAGAUGAAGAGUUCUCAGCUUUCUGCUUUCUCCAUGACUGGCUUACCAUGGAGAAAGAAGUGAAGGGUAAGAGCCCACCCCAACUGUGAGAUGGAAGGCGCCCAAGAGCAGUGAGACAGUGAGCGUUGUUGAUUCCAGGCUAUGCAGAUGCCAUGAAGCUGGGAGUGGAGCAGAUGUCACCAUCAGUGAGAUAAGUGUCUGGUUUCAUGAGGACUCUUGUAACGGUCUACCUGCCUCCAGGCCAGGACUUGUCGUUAGCUGGGGCUGAGUUUGUAGGAAAAGGUUCCUGAAUAGCUGUAGUUAUGAGGGAGACAAGGUCCCCAUUUUCAGGGGCUGGUCAUUUCUCUGUCCA